AAAGUAUCCUACGCUACAGCCAUGGACUGGUUCAUCGCCGUGUGUUUUGCAUUU
rfam:Salmo salar isolate Sally breed double haploid chromosome ssa09, whole genome shotgun sequence.